UGACCUUUGCGAUUACCCCAAAUGUGGGUAACUCGGUCGUAUAAUUUCUGGUAGUGGGGACUGCGUUCGCGCUAUCCCCGU
rnacentral:snRNA from 10 species